CGAACCCUGGGAAACAAACACACACACAGACCUCCAGACGUUACAAACCAGGGCACACAUGUUGGGCUCUCCAUGGCGACCUCUGACCCCAGGCCCUGCUCACCGAACUGGUCCUCUCUGCUGAGCUUCUGCUGGUGGAGUCCAGGGUAGUCUGUAACACAACACAGGAGACAUGAGGACAAGUACCACCGCAGUAGUACCAGGAGAGGAGCUUCAGCAGCUGGACCUCCAGAGCAGACACCAGGGAGUCCCUCUCCCUCCUCCACUGGCCCAUCUCCUGCUCCUUCACCGCCAGCUCAGCACAAACACUCUCCUACAGAGAGACAGAGAGCUAGUGUUACACUAGAGCACCGGUCUCCAACAGGGGGACCGCGACCCCUAGAGGGUCCACGGAGGUACUGCAGGGGGGAGGGGGGUUUUGGUUGAUUAGACAUUUUUUUAUAUUCCCCGCAAUUCUUUCCACAAAUUGAAAUGUCUUUAAAUACACAUUAACAUCCAACACAAUCCAACACACUCGCCGUGUUUACAUGGACACUUUUGAUCCGAUUUCUAAUCGGAAUAGAUCUAUUUCUAUCAUGCGAUCCGAAUGUACUAUAUAUGGCAUUUACAAAAGUGGUAAGCGUACGUUCGUAUGUCUCUCGUGCACACCUGACACAUCUGGACAGUUUGCGACAUUUUUAUGCAUUUGAUUUUAAUGAAA